CACGCAUGACACACUGCAUAUCAAUAAGCGGAGGAAAAGAAACUAACAAGGAUUCCCUUAGUAACGGCGAGUGAAGCGGGAAGAGCUCAAAUUUGAAAUCUUCAAGGUUCUACCUUGACGAAUUGUAGUUUAAAGAAGUGUUUUCUGUUAGUGGAGUGGCAAAAGUUCUUUGGAAUAGGACAUCAUAGAGGGUGAGAAUCCCGUAAUUGGUCAUUCCUUCUAGCUUUGUGAUACACUUUCAAAGAGUCGGAUUGUUUGGGAAUGCAGUCCAAAAUGGGUGGUAAAUUUCAUCUAAAGCUAAAUAUUGGCGAGAGACCGAUAGCGAACAAGUACCGUGAGGGAAAGAUGAAAAGAACUUUGAAAAGAGAGUUAAACAGUACGUGAAAUUGUCAAAAGGGAAGCGUUUGACACCAGUGUUGUUUUUCCGAAAAUCAAUUACGAAUGUUUUAGUUUUUGAGAAGUUAUGACUUCAUCGGCUUGCUUCUCUCUUUAUGAAACUUUCUUAAUGCACUUUUCGGUUAACAAGUCAACAUCAAUUUCUUUUGUUGUAAAAGGGUAUGAGGAAGGUGGCUUUCUUUUCGGAGAAAGUGUUUAUAGCCCUUGUACUUCUGCAAUCGGAGAGAUUGAGGUCUGCAGCGUAGAUCCUUCGGGGUUAGAUACAGUUUGUGCUAAGUUAUAGCUUUUCAUAGACAACUUGUUGACUUAUGUUUAGUCUUGUAGCUUACUCGCUUAUGCUAUUUUACCUACGCUUAGGAUGUUGACGCAUGAGAUAUACGC
rnacentral:rRNA from 1 species